rnacentral:piRNA from 1 species
CAAGGACAAGUGAUUAGGAACCACA